CACCAGGAAGUGUACUGAGUUACGCUCUCACCCUUUGUGACAUACCUAUAACUGUUGCUUCGGCGGGGAGGGGCUCGGGACCCUGCCGGGCUCCCGCCUCCGGGCGGGUCGGGGCCCGCCGGAAGAAAACCAAACUCUGAUUUAACGACGUUUCUUCUGAAUGGUACCAGCAAAUAAUCCAAACUUUUAACAACGGAUCUCUUGGUUCUGGCAUCCAUGAAAAACGCAGCGAAAUGCGAUAAGUAAUGUGAAUUGCAGAAUUCACUGAAUCAUCCAAUCUUUGAACGCACAUUGCGCCCGCCAGCAUUCUGGCGGGCAUGCCUGUUCGAGCGUCAUUUUAACCCUCAAGCUCUGCUUGGGGUUGGGGCCCUACAGCUCAUGUAGGCCCUCAAAGGUAGUGGCGGACCCUCCCGGACCCUCCUUUGCCUAGUAACUUUACUUCUCCUACUGGGAUCCGGAGGGACUCUUGCCGUAAAACCCCCCAAUUUUCCAAAGGUUGACCUCGGAUCAGGUAGGAAUACCCGCUGAACUUAAGCAUAU
rnacentral:rRNA from 1 species